GGAUUAGAUACCCUGGUAGUCCACGCCGUAAACGAUGUCUACUUGGAGGUUGUGGCCUUGAGCCGUGGCUUUCGGAGCUAACGCGUUAAGUAGACCGCCUGGGGAGUACGGUCGCAAGAUUAAAACUCAAAUGAAUUGACGGGGGCCCGCACAAGCGGUGGAGCAUGUGGUUUAAUUCGAUGCAACGCGAAGAACCUUACCUGGUCUUGACAUCCACAGAACUUUCUAGAGAUAGAUUGGUGCCUUCGGGAACUGUGAGACAGGUGCUGCAUGGCUGUCGUCAGCUCGUGUUG
rnacentral:rRNA from 1 species